GAAAGAAACACCAAUAGAUUUAAAAAAAUGUUUAUAUAUUGUUUGUAAAAUAAAAGAAAAAUUACGCUUAUUUUUAAAAGAAUGCAUUUUUGGAAGGUGUGAUUGUGGCCUAAUGAACAAAUUUCUGGAAGAAAUUGGUACGAAUAACACUGCCCUGUUCACAUAAAUGUGGCUCCCCAGGUGCAAUGUUUGCUGACCUCACACAGUGUGCAUAAUAAUGCCAAUUGGUCAGGUAUUUCAUGAAGUCCCAUAUAUGUCUGCACUCUGCUGGAUACACAUGAGAGGUAUAAGAUUCCUUCCCUCUGGUGAGGUGCAAAGGCGUGAACAAGAUGGUUUUCCGGGUGUCAUGUGAGAAGCAUUGAUCUACGAUCUGUUCCCCUUCCUGCUUCCUCUUCUCCCUUUUGCCCAUGUUCUGGUGCUAUCCAGAAGGAAAAGACUUUCUGAAGGUGAGGGUCUCAUUUUAUCUCCCGUGACUUUUUGCUUGUAACUGGGAGGUUUUACUAAAGGGCAUGCCGUUUUCAGACUCUUUUCAUACCUAAAAAAAAAAAAAAAAGGUUU
rnacentral:lncRNA from 1 species